CUGCUAUCCUGUCCGCUCACUUCCUCCGUCCAUGUCCUGCUUUUCCUCCUAACAGCUGAGAGAUCCCAGUCCAAACUGAACUGGACCACAGUGAACCAACUCAUCUAAGAACGGGAUUAAACCCAAACAAACCCGGUUCCAGUUUAAAGGGGGUCUUUUUGUGGGCUCUAGUGUCCCUUAUACAACAG